ACUGGCCAAGCAUAUUCAAACUACCACAGUGACCAAAAGGGACCUGGGCUCAGAUUUCUAUGCCUAGGAUCUUAAGCAUCAUCAUCUGAUAAACCCUAGGCCAUGGACAUUUACCUGCAGCAACCCAUUUCUACUUUCCCAGUGUAGUUUGAAAUCGGUGCAGCAUCCAUUACCUUUAUGACCAUUUUGUCCUUUAUGAGCAAAAGCAGCUGAUGAAUACUUAUUCAUAAACCUUUUCCACUAUGCUAAUGUUGAGGUGCCACCCCUGGAGUCAGUGCUAGUUCCCACAGUGUAAGACUCUGAAGCAUUUUCCUGGUGGAUUACAGCUCCAUCCAUAUUCCUUUCGCCACAGAAUCACAAGUUUUGGAUUCAAAGUUGGGCAGAGAGAGAAGCCGAUGAUUCUUCGGAUUUUUGCUGACCCCGAGAUCAAGAUCAAGCUCUCAACUCCUUCUCCAGCCUGGAUGCUGCCAUGCUUCCCGCCAUGAUGAUUAUGGACUAAACCUUUGAAACUAAGAAUCAAGGGUAUCUCUGUCUUUUUCCAAAGAUGAUACACUUGGAGAAACCGUGAGGCAAAAAGGGGUGGGAACAGAGAACGGAGAGAGAGAGUGGUCCUUGAGACAGGACCCAGCCUGUUUUGACUCCUUCGUAUGUGCUGGAAAGUUUAUACUCACAAGCUCACUGGCUCAUUUGAAACGGAAAUAAAGUUUGUUCAUCAGGCCCC
rnacentral:lncRNA from 1 species